UGCAUGAGUUUGGAAACACGGCCCUGGGGCAGGAGAUAGUAGCCUGGGGCUCAGCUGCAGAAAGUUUUGCUGGAGGUUCUAAAUCACAUUCACCGGGCUGGCCUGGGGCUCUUCCUCCUAGGCCACCCUGAUGCAGCUUCCCCACCAGAAAGGAAAACAGCAAAUUCUCUGGGAGGUCGGACCUCCCACCUGCCCCCUCGUGUGGGGGUCUGCUGUGGGCAUUUGCCAACUUCCUGUAAACUGUGCCCUUGUUUUCCUCUGGGGAACCCGCCCCGGGUCCCAGGUGGUUCCAGAUCCUUCUGCCCCUUCUACAAAUGCCCGAACGUCUCUUCUGUGCCAGGCACUGGGGGUGCAGCAGUAAAAACAUGGGUGUGGCUACUGCCCUGACAGGAGCUCGCCUGAUCAGGAACACAAGCAAAGAAAUCACCGAGUUCCAAAUUUGUGAAGGAAACAAACAGCCUCGGUGCCUGCAACCCCAGUCCCAGGAAAGGAUUUCCUCAGUCGGGGAGGCUCUGAAGACACUCAGAAGAUGCUUACAAAUGUGCACCUGACAAGGUACUGUCACAGAUGUCACUUGAGAAACAUUCAAAGGAGGCCACCAAACCACUUAUCCCUGAGGAAACAAUAGACAGCUGUCACAUGGAAGAAUGCACGGACUUACAGGCAAAGAAAGAAAUGCAGACAAAACCCCUCUCCAUUUUGAUCAAAUUAGGAAACAACUAUAAAAUGAUAAAACCCAGUGCUGACAGGGAUGUGGAGAAAAUGACACAUUGGCUUUGCUGUAAACACAUUCUGAUUUGAAAAGUCAAUCUCCGUGCCAGAAAUAAGUGCUGUAAAACUGCACAGGCCUUCUGACCCAGCAUUUGGUCCUCAGGUACAAAAACAUUUAUAGUUGCCUUAUUUAAAAGUGGGGGGUGGAAAAAACAAAGACCAAAAGCCCCGGAUGCCCUGGGCUAACAUUUGUGGGGUGCUCACACUAUUUGAAAUGCUGAACGUGUUAUUUCUUCUUUAAUCCUUGGAGAGUUGUGUGUUUUAUUAGCCCCCAUAUCACAGAUGAAGACCUGGGAGCACACAGAGUCCGGCCCCGUCUCCGUGGUCACUCAGGCGGUCAGCAGCAGAGCUGAGGUUUGAGCCCAGGCUUCCCCGCCUGCAACCUGCGGGGGGGGGGGGGCACUCCACACCGCUGUUCUAUAGCACGAAGGCGGAAUUGUCCACCAAAGAGAAGGUGACAUGCCACUCCUUGGGGGUGCGCUGUCACCAGGAUGUGACUGGAAGAAAAAAAGGGCUUCUUUCUGCUUCUGCCUGGUGAUAAAUAUAAGCCCGCUGCCUGGCAGGCAUGCCCCAGCCUGUGGUUCUGGAAUGUGGGCAAGCCACCCACCUGGAGACCUGCCGUUGGUAGCUGGUCUUGAGGCAGCCAGUCCCAGCCCACAGACCUGGCCAGCAAACCCACUGUGUGUUUGGUCAAGCCAGCACCUUCACGCCGCCUUCAUGGGAGUCGAGCCGUUGAGCUGAUGCCUAGAACCUCUCAGGGUUGCCCCUGGGCAGAAACGCCAGCAGCCUCGUGGUUGGAGGUGCUGGAUGGAUGGUGACGGUCUAGGCAACUCUGGCUUCAAGGAGAUCACGACAUUUUGGAGAUGAACGUGGCACAGGGCAGAGCUUGGAGAUCCUCUGCCUCCUGAGCAGGCGAUGGGAGGAGACACAGCCUGGUGGCAGGUUCGAGGCUGGUGUGAGUGUUGACAUGCCUCAAACUCUCAGGGAACCGUGGCUCCUGUUCUUGGGGCCCGGCCUCCCAUCUCUAAAGAACGGGGCCAGCGCAGAUGGGUAAACGUGGGACCCCGGCUGCUGCGGGGUGGGCAGGGGUCUCAGGGAGGAAGCCCUUCCCUUUCGACGGCUUUUCUGUCCUUCUCAGUUCGGCUUGACUCUCGGCGCGUCUCCAUGGCUGGCCGGCCCUUCCGAUCCCCCUUCACGUCAGAGCGUGAGCAGCCUCAGGCUCAGGGCCAUGGGCAGGCAGCAGGACUUACUACGUGGUUUCUCUUCCCUGUGCUCAUUUUCAGGGCUAUCUUCUAUUAGUGGCAGGUGAUACUUGUU